rnacentral:lncRNA from 1 species
CAGGGAAAGCAAGGUCAAUGACUCCAGGUAUUUGUUCUUGUCUCUGCCAUCAACCUGCUUGGUGUCCUUGGGUGAGACCCUUCAGACCAGGAUCUUCAUUUACAAAGUGAGAAUGGGAGCAGAGAAAGAAAAGUAACUAUUGUCAAUAGGAGUAACGCUGGAUUGGACAACUCCCGUCUUACUUCCUGAGGAGCAGCACUGUAGUAGCCAAGCAACCUGAAGGAUUUGAUAUAACAGCAGGAGUUUCCGGGCAAAGCCAAUGUCUGGGCCAGUGUUUGCAACCUGGAUAACAGCAUUGUUUUAGCAAUCAGAGAAUGGAAGCUGGGGAUAAAGUUUGAGUGAGGCUCGGGGAGACAAAACCAGCAUUCAUCUACAGCACAUGAAAAUGAAUUGGCCCAUCAGCUUUCAACUGAAUAUAGUAGCACUGUGUCUUGCUACAUACAGAGAGAGUGAAAGAAGGAGGAACAGAUCACAAGGUGUCACCCAGUUUUGCUGCAGCUCACGUGCUUCCAUGGGAGGACAUUUGCAUGGGCGUGACUACGAUUCAAUUGGUGAAUUUCAGAAGAAGAAGUGGUUAAUCUCAUUGCCAUCAGUACCAGAAGCAUGUCUAUGAAAUCUCCAGGAUUGCCACAAGGAUGAAAAUUUGUU